rnacentral:lncRNA from 1 species
UGAUUCUAAUCUAGAUGAUCGAAAGAAUCAUGGAGAUUUUUGGGUUAUUUUGUGAGAAAUGAGUUUCUAGGGUUUUGGAAAAGGGCUUUUGGAUUUGUAGGGUUUUGAUCUAAAUUGAUCAUGUAAUCUUCUAAUUGAAGGUUGUUGAAGAACGCCUAGUAGCUUCGAUUCGAAGAAUAGCAGCGUUUCGGUGGUCGAUUAAGGAAAAUUGGCUCGAAAUUAAAAGAUUUCAUUCGUUAGCAUUGAAAAGUGCCGAAUCGA